rnacentral:lncRNA from 1 species
AUGAUGGCCCCAGAAGAUCGCAGUGGGGAAGACAGACUAGAAAAGAGGUUUCUCUUCUUAGAUCUUCAUCUCAGAGGCGGCACCACCACCCGCUCUCAGCCAAGCCAGGGAUCCAGAAGCCCUUCCAGCCUUGCAGACCUGAGAGGCUUCCCCGGACUCGAUGGAGAUAUAAUCAUGGUAUCGCCAAGGAAUCGCAUUCAGGCCUGGCAGUGCUUCUAGGCGAGUAGCAUAUGUCCUCAUAAAACGACCUGUUUAUGACCAGAGUUUCUGUGCAUAUGCCGCGAACAGUCACAACCUGGAUCUCGCCUUUGGUAAGGGAAUAGGAAAUUAAACAUCUCACCACUGCUUUGCAGAACGGGAGUCGGCAUUUAAUAAGAAAGGC